rnacentral:rRNA from 1 species
UACAGAGGGGGCAAGCGUUGUUCGGAAUUACUGGGCGUAAAGGGCGCGUAGCGGCCGCCUAAGUCAGACGUGAAAUCCCUCGGCUCAACCGGGGAACUGCGUCUGAUACUGGGGUGGCUUGAAUUCGGGAGAGGGAUGCGGAAUUCCAGGUGUAGCGGUGAAAUGCGUAGAGAUCGGGAGGAAGGCCGGUGGCGAAGGCGGCGC